AGAAUCUAAGUUCCCUCUCAAGCACUACGAUGAAAGCUUAUUCAAAUAGUACUUUUGGAAAUUUCCUUGGAAAGGCGGUCAAACAUCAUAUAGAAGACGUAAAUAUUACUAGGAUAAAUAAGAGGGUUAUCCUAACGCCAAGCUUGGGGAAUAUAUUAUUUGCAAAAAACUGAUAAAAACGUGUUAACCCCAAAAUAAGACAUGUAGGCGGAAGAAUAAACAAUGAUCAGUGAAGAAAAAGUCAAGAUAUAAACCUAGAUGUAAAACUUGCAAGAAGCGGAAGAAACGCCUUUAAAUCUGUUACUUAUAUAUAUAUUAUAAUAAUACUGCGCAAACUGGAAAAUCACCAUUGGUAACGUUUCUGAGCACAUUUACCAAUCUGUAUAAGCCACCAAAGUAUCCUGACAAAUAUUACCGACACACUUGCUAAUGUGAUGAACAUCGAUGAAAAUAUUGCAUUUGAUAACUGAAACCUCAUGGAGGAAUCAUACUCGCUGUUCGUUUGUAAAAGACCGCACUGCUCCAAUAAAACGGCAAUAAAAAUCCGAAAAUCAGUCAAAGGGAAAGCGGGCUCGUAGCACUCGUGACGUUAUUAAGUGCCAUUUAAAUCGGUCAUAAAUUUGAUGAACGAGUGCGAUGAGAGAACAUUUUUCAUUGAAUUCGGAAGUAAAUUGGCCUGAAAUGCAUGGAGUACGUAAAAAGAUACAACAGUUGAUGACAAUAAUUUUACAAGUUCAUGGAAAUUCAUAAACAUGUUGCUUAUGCGUUUAGAUUAAAAUCCAUAAAGCCUAUAAUUUAUUGAUCA